rnacentral:lncRNA from 10 species
CUUGAUGUCUUAGAGCUAGAUCUAGCUGCCUUUUAGAGACUGUUCAUAAAAAAUUCUGAGGCUUUGCUGAGCUAUGAAACUACUUCACUACAGGAAAAGUACAGACAAUAAAAAUUCGGGAGCUGAAAGCAAGCAGGAGUCAGUGGAAUCUGCAUAGGUGGAACUGACAGAUACAAGGAGCCAACUCUAUAUGCCAGUAGCAGUGUCUCUGUCUCCCAGAUUUAUAAGCCAAAAACUGAUUUAUUGGACCCACUG